GUUUUUUGGCUGCAACAUCUGUCACCUGUUGUUUGCGCCAGGCUUGAUUCAGCAGAUCUGGCUGGCUAUGCAGGUGUCUGUGAUCUCCCUCACCACUCCAUGUGCGUCCCUCCCGAAGCUGCACGCUCUGUCAUGAGGAUGACCAUCCUGGGACCAGCAGUUAGUGUAAUGACUAUGUAAUGGCUAUGUCGCUGGACUCCCACGUAGUGGGACAUGGAUGUCCGCUUGAAAUCCAACAGCUUGAAACUCAACACUGGGUGCAUAAGUGCGUGCCCAAGAU
rnacentral:sRNA from 1 species